rnacentral:rRNA from 1 species
AUUGAACGCUGGCGGCAUGCUUUACACAUGCAAGUCGAACGGUAACAGGGAGCUUGCUCCGCUGACGAGUGGCGAACGGGUGAGUAAUGCAUCGGAACAUGCCCAGUCAUGGGGGAUAACUACGCGAAAGCGUAGCUAAUACCGCAUACGCCCUGAGGGGGAAAGUGGGGGAUCUUAGGACCUCACGUGAUUGGAGUGGCCGAUGUCAGAUUAGCUAGUUGGUGAGGUAAAGGCUCACCAAGGCGACGAUCUGUAGCGGGUCUGAGAGGAUGAUCCGCCACACUGGGACUGAGACACGGCCCAGACUCCUACGGGAGGCAGCAGUGGGGAAUUUUGGACAAUGGGCGCAAGCCUGAUCCAGCCAUGCCGCGUGAGUGAAGAAGGCCUCGGUU